rnacentral:lncRNA from 13 species
UUGCAAACCACAUGAAGGGCGCCAUUUUGAGUAACUGCAGAUUGUUGCCAGGAACCACACCCACAAAAAUGAAAAAAUACUUGAGAGAGGAGGACUCAAGAUGGCGCUGUGAGAACAACCCAGGAUUGGCGCUCCCGUUGAAUCCGCAAACGGCGGUAAACUGACCACAAGGCUUCUGAAAGCAUUGUAGGAAGCACGGCGGGGGUGUGUGAAGAGGCAAUGACUCAGAAGAGAUGAUGGGAGCUUGGACUUCGGAGACUGAAGUAAGAAAGUCUGAAUGAACUCCAGAAAUAUUUAUUUAGAAAAAUAAACAAGAGUUAGUAAUGUCUGUUUAUUCGAUU